AAAACCCAAAGGCGUAAUGAAAGUAAAUAGUGGAAUAUUGGUGUAUUGAACUUGUUUCAAUUAUCGAUUUCCCUAUAGGGAAGAUGGAAAGCUUGUUAACAAGUGGAUCAUCAUUUGGUGUUUCUAGUUGUUAAUAAUGUUUUCCCGCACUCCCGGGGCGCUUAUAUCUCGCCUAGCGAGUUAUUGCGCACCUAGAGCGUACACGCUGAUACCCGAAAGAUGGUGAACUAUGCCUGGCCAGGACGAAGCCAGGGGAAACCCUGGUGGAGGUCCGCAGCGAUUCUGACGUGCAAAUCGAUCGUCGGAGCUGGGUAUAGGGGCGAAAGACCAAUCGAACCAUCUAGUAGCUGGUUCCCUCUGAAGUUUCCCUCAGGAUAGCUUGCACUCGGUUGAGAAGAGUCUCAUCCGGUAGAGCGAAUGAUUAGAGGCAUUGGGGUCGAAACGACCUCAACCUAUUCUCAAACUCCAAAUAGAUGAGAUCCCCGGCUUUCUUAAAAAUGAAGCCGUGGGAAUAGGAUCAGAGUGCCAAGUGGGCCAAUUU
rnacentral:rRNA from 1 species